UUUAGUUACAUCGUGUCCUAAGACUGACGGAAAAUGAAAAGUUGUGAUUCUCUAGGCUGAUAUGGCUAGGAACUAUACUCUCAUUCUGGCGUAAUAAUCAAAUAACUUUUUGAGUAAGAUGCUUACGUGUUUAAGUGAUACAGGUUUGAGUGAGCACAAUUUUAUUUUUGGGUCAAUUAUCUCUUUGAGAGCUAUGAGCAACCUUAUCCUUAUCCUUGAAAUGACCUCAGUGAUUAAUUAAACAUUCUUCACAGUUUUAGAAAGAGUGCACAGAGUUUAUAACAGCCAUUUCUACAUUAGAUUCCUAAUGUGGCUCCGAUGUGGCUUCUACAGAAUCCAAACAUCGACCUUGUGGCCAACCAUCAGACCGCUGGCCUUGAGCUCUGCUGAGAAACAGGCCUGAAAUAGUUGGUCUGUCUGGCCAAGAACAACAGGUCAUGUAGGACUGGAGGCACCACAAGAACGAUUUCAAAACACUGGGGAAAUGAAGGCCCGCGUCUGGGUGCCAGUCAGCACAGAGGUAGGUCAAACAAGACCAAGGGCCUCCCAAGCUCUGCAAUCAAACCAGCAUGAAAUGUGUUGGGAAGCCAUGAAGAUUACAAUGAGGUUAUUCUUAUUGGAAUCAUUUAAAAAAAAAUUAUAGACUGUAGAAUAUUUCCUAUACAUACCCUACGCAGUUUUGACUUAAAAAGAGAGAGAGAUGUCUCUUUAUCUCUCUGUCUGACUAAAUUCUAUGUUCAUCUUGGUUUUGUCUGAACCACCCAGACUACGACAAGUGACAAGCAAUAUUUGAUUGGUUGCUCGAUUUAAGAGCCCUUCCUACAAUGAAUCUCAAUGGUCCCAAAUUCUGCCUUGUGUUACUUGGUCAUGUUAGACGCCAUGAUUAAAUUGACACAUAUGUUGUGAAAAUCAGAUUGUACUUUGGAAGGCAGUUCAAUCUUCUGAAUAGACUGUCCUAUUUAUGUCAAAUAAAAUAUGGUGUCUACUUCUUUUAAGGCCUGAUUGGCUGCAGUUUUGAUGCUUCAUGCAACAUCUGACUUUAAAUAAGGACAUAUUACUUGGACACUUGUUGUUCUGUGAGUGCUUAGUAAACUCUGUAACACCGUAUUUAGCUGACAAAUUUGAUUUCUACCAUACAUGACACUUCCAUGAGGAUCAUCGCUUUGUCACCCUCUUCAUCAACAGCUUCAGAUACGAGUUCAAAAAUCUCUGUGAGGAUCUGCUGACCGUGAGCUUAAUCUUUCUUGACCCUUACCUCAACCCUGUUCCAGAGCGCUCCAUUUAACGUCCAAACGAUCAGCUCUAACUUAAAUAUUUACACACAAGAGAAGUACAGGCACAAUCACGCUUGCCCCAGUGUGUUUACAGGGCUGACAGGGUCAAAUGUGAAGACAGAUGAACCUGAUGACAAGGAAAGUGUACUAAACGCCAUGAUAAAAUGGUGUACAAAAAAAAAGAAGAAGAAGAGCACAAGCGCUCUCCCUCCCUCUUUGGUCCAGCCAUGGCGUCUGCUUCAGAAUCCUGGAUACGCUCCAUGCCUGGAUCCAGUCCUGUUAUUUCCACACAUGCUUCAAAGGACCAAUGCAGAACGGAGAACUAUAAACACAGUUGACGGUUUACAAAUUGAGCUCCAACCAAAUAGCAUCCAAGGAGCGAGUUUGCCAAAUGGCUACCGAUAUUAAGCUGAUAUUGCGUAAUUACAGUCAUGGGAAAUGUUGUUACAUAUUGAUUUUCCUACCAACUCCAUCACUGUGUCAAACUGAUUAGUAAGUCUGAUAUUAAAGGUUCAUGAUGUGGUCAAAUGGAGUGGUUCCCGAAACUCACUUGCGGUGAUUGAUUUCAAUCAGAUUUAACUCAAAAAAUAAAAAAUAAAAAUCAUGAUCUGGAUUCAAACAUAAAAGAUGGUCUGAUUUCUAAAUGAUGGUGAUUCACGUGCAUGCAACUGAGCAUGCGCAUUUACCUUCAUCUGUGGAUGGAAUGAUGCAUUGAAUCAGUGGAUGGAAUCAGUGCAAGAUCUAUAUGAAGUGAAAUAGCUAACCAAUAAGAAAGACCUUUAUCCACACCCCCUAUAUUUCACCACGCCUACUGCUCCAGCCGGUAGUUACCACUACUUGACCUAAUGGGUUACAAUUUUGUUCAUUUUAAGAAUCGUCUGAGAGAAUCGUGAUGUCAGUUCCCAUGGAGAAUAAUCAUGAUUUACAUUUCAGCGAGAAUCAUGCUGCCCUACCCGGGGUCCAGUAACCUGCUGUAAUUUUGACACUAAACAGACUGCAUUUGAUAAGCCCAGUGAGCUGUGUUAGGCGAAGGUUGGCUGAACUUUCUCGGGAGGUCCUGUCAGAGUGGCUCUGGAGAAGACAAGAGCCGCCAAUGUCUCUGAGUAUUUACAGGAUCUUUCUGAACAUGCGCAGUAGAAAAGGUGAGCUAGUGGAUGAA